AUGCGCAUGCAUGUAUGAAUUUGACUUCAUUGUGAACUGGUGUAUUGCGCAUGCGUGGGCCACUGGGCGUUGGCGCACCGUCACAAGUUGCUUGCCUGCCUGCCAAACUCAGGCCAGUGUUGCAUAUUGGUUCAUACUGGCUAUAACAACGGAACGGAAUAAUCGGCGUCGGAACCCGGUACUGUACACAAACAAUCUGCAAGCCGGACCAUGUCACAGAUGUUCUCUAUUUGUAUCUACACUGAUCCCGAUUCAAGAUCUAACACAUCACUUCUUGGCACGUAUAUUGCAAUCUGAGGAGAAAGUUCCUGAAAUCCGCCAGGUACAUGUCCGGAGAUCAGCCAAAGCAAAGACAAGGCCAGAGUCAAACAGGACGUUCCAUUGCCGCUAGCAGAAAUAGCAGAGUACGGGAUCAUGAACGUAUCUACUACAGUUACACUAACUGCUAGUGACGGCGAGACAUCUGCCUGGCCUAGGGGCGAUAUCUUUGCUCUUGUUUUCGGUCUUGUAGGAGCGGUGGGCGUAAUUGUGACAAUAGUGGUAUGUUAUCUCACUCAGUGCAGAAAAGGUCGAGGAAAUGGGCCACCAAUAUCAACACCGGAGGAGCGGGUAGGAUUAAACCCAG